rnacentral:rRNA from 1 species
AACGAACGCUGGCGGCAUGCCUACCACAUGCAAGUCGAACGAAGCCUUCGGGCUUAGUGGCGCACGGGUGCGUAACGCGUGGGAAUCUGCCCUUUGGUUCGGAAUAAUAGUUGGAAACGACUGCUAAUACCGGAUGAUGACGAAAGUCCAAAGAUUUAUCGCCAGAGGAUGAGCCGGCGUAGGAUUAGCUAGUUGGUGUGGUAAAGGCGCACCAAGGCGACGAUCCUUAGCUGGUCCGAGAGGAUGAUCAGCCACACUGGGACUGACAAACGGCCCGGACACCUACGGGAGGCAGCAGUGAGAAAUAUUGGACAAUGGGCGAAAGCCUGAUCCAGCAAUGCCGCGUGAGUGAUGAAGGCCCUAGGGUUGUAAAGCUCUUUUACCCGGGAUGAUAAUGACAGUACCGGGAGAAUAAGCCCCGGCUAACUCCGUGCCAGCCGCCGCUGUAA